UCCCUGAGGACUUGAUCCUCCUGAAGGGCCGUUGAAGACCACGACGUUGAUAGGCUGGGUGUGGAAGUGCAGUAAUGCAUUAAGCUAACCAGUACUAAUUGCCCGUGCGGCUUGGCUCU
rnacentral:rRNA from 1 species